CUUGCCUCAUUUUAGAAAUUGUUCUUACAUAGAGCAUGCUGUUGUGUUUCGAAUCAACUAGGAGACAUAAACCUCAUAUGCAGGUGUGAAGGCUGUAUUAUACCUUUGAAUAAUUCAAAAUGGAGUAAUGUGGGCAUGUUUAACAAACUUUUUGCUAGUAUUUUGUCAGGUUAUGUGACACUAUCCAGUCUUCAUCAACUCCACCAAGAAAGAUGUUUCAUCUCAAUGAGUGCCUCACCAGUAAUUUGAUUGAUUUAUUGCUACAUUUUAUAAAGGAUUGGCUUGCAUUGACCCAACAGUGAAGAGAAAUCCCCUAAAUCAACUGAGGACAACCUUGAAAGAUUCAGAUGUAGACCAGCAGAGCCAAGCAGAAGCAACAGGAUAUAAAACCAUCUAGCAGCAGCCAAGCAGUCUCUAAUAG